rnacentral:rRNA from 1 species
UUAAGCGACUAAGCGUACACGGUGGAUGCCCUGGCAGUCAGAGGCGAUGAAGGACGUGCUAAUCUGCGAAAAGCGCCGGCGAGGUGAUAUGAACCUUUGACCCGGCGAUGUCCGAAUGGGGAAACCCAGUGUGUUCCGACACACUAUCGUUAACUGAAUACAUAGGUUAACGAGGCGAACCGGGGGAACUGAAACAUCUAAGUACCCCGAGGAAAAGAAAUCAACCGAGAUUCCCCCAGUAGCGGCGAGCGAACGGGGAGCAGCCCAGAGUCUGAAUCAGCUUGUGUGUUAGUGGAAGCGUCUGGAAAGUCGCACGGUACAGGGUGACAGUCCCGUACACGAAAGCACAGGUUGUGAACUCGAAGAGUAGGGCGGGACACGUGGUAUCCUGUCUGAAUAUGGGGGGACCAUCCUCCAAGGCUAAAUACUCCUGACUGACCGAUAGUGAACCAGUACCGUGAGGGAAAGGCGAAAAGAACCCCGGCGAGGGGAGUGAAAAAGAACCUGAAACCGUGUACGUACAAGCAGUGGGAGCACCUUCGUGGUGUGACUGCGUACCUUUUGUAUAAUGGGUCAGCGACUUAUAUUCUGUAGCAAGGUUAACCGUAUAGGGGAGCCGAAGGGAAACCGAGUCUUAACUGGGCGUUAAGUUGCAGGGUAUAGACCCGAAACCCGGUGAUCUAGCCAUGGGCAGGUUGAAGGUUGGGUAACACUAACUGGAGGACCGAACCGACUAAUGUUGAAAAAUUAGCGGAUGACUUGUGGCUGGGGGUGAAAGGCCAAUCAAACCGGGAGAUAGCUGGUUCUCCCCGAAAGCUAUUUAGGUAGCGCCUCGUGAACUCAUCUUCGGGGGUAGAGCACUGUUUCGGCUAGGGGGCCAUCCCGGCUUACCAACCCGAUGCAAACUACGAAUACCGAAGAAUGUUAUCACGGGAGACACACGGCGGGUGCUAACGUCCGUCGUGAAGAGGGAAACAACCCAGACCGCCAGCUAAGGUCCCAAAGUCAUGGUUAAGUGGGAAACGAUGUGGGAAGGCACAGACAGCCAGGAUGUUGGCUUAGAAGCAGCCAUCAUUUAAAGAAAGCGUAAUAGCUCACUGGUCGAGUCGGCCUGCGCGGAAGAUGUAACGGGGCUAAACCAUGCACCGAAGCUGCGGCAGCGACGCUUAGGCGUUGUUGGGUAGGGGAGCGUUCUGUAAGCCGUUGAAGGUGUGCUGUGAGGCAUGCUGGAGGUAUCAGAAGUGCGAAUGCUGACAUAAGUAACGAUAAAGCGGGUGAAAAGCCCGCUCGCCGGAAGACCAAGGGUUCCUGUCCAACGUUAAUCGGGGCAGGGUGAGUCGACCCCUAAGGCGAGGCCGAAAGGCGUAGUCGAUGGGAAACAGGUUAAUAUUCCUGUACUUGGUGUUACUGCGAAGGGGGGACGGAGAAGGCUAUGUUAGCCGGGCGACGGUUGUCCCGGUUUAAGCAUGUAGGCGGAGGUUCCAGGUAAAUCCGGUACCUUUUAACGCUGAGGUGUGAUGACGAGGCACUACGGUGCUGAAGUAACAAAUGCCCUGCUUCCAGGAAAAGCCUCUAAGCAUCAGGUAACACGAAAUCGUACCCCAAACCGACACAGGUGGUCAGGUAGAGAAUACCAAGGCGCUUGAGAGAACUCGGGUGAAGGAACUAGGCAAAAUGGUGCCGUAACUUCGGGAGAAGGCACGCUGAUAUGUAGGUGAAGCCCCUGCGGGUGGAGCUGAAAUCAGUCGAAGAUACCAGCUGGCUGCAACUGUUUAUUAAAAACACAGCACUGUGCAAACACGAAAGUGGACGUAUACGGUGUGACGCCUGCCCGGUGCCGGAAGGUUAAUUGAUGGGGUUAGCGGCAACGCGAAGCUCUUGAUCGAAGCCCCGGUAAACGGCGGCCGUAACUAUAACGGUCCUAAGGUAGCGAAAUUCCUUGUCGGGUAAGUUCCGACCUGCACGAAUGGCGUAAUGAUGGCCAGGCUGUCUCCACCCGAGACUCAGUGAAAUUGAACUCGCUGUGAAGAUGCAGUGUACCCGCGGCAAGACGGAAAGACCCCGUGAACCUUUACUAUAGCUUGACACUGAACACUGGUCCUUGAUGUGUAGGAUAGGUGGGAGGCUUUGAAGCGUGGACGCCAGUCUGCGUGGAGCCGACCUUGAAAUACCACCCUUUAAUGGCUGGUGUUCUAACGUAGACCCGUAAUCCGGGUUGCGGACAGUGUCUGGUGGGUAGUUUGACUGGGGCGGUCUCCUCCCAAAGAGUAACGGAGGAGCACGAAGGUUAGCUAAUCCUGGUCGGACAUCAGGAGGUUAGUGCAAUGGCAUAAGCUAGCUUGACUGCGAGAGUGACGGCUCGAGCAGGUGCGAAAGCAGGUCAUAGUGAUCCGGUGGUUCUGAAUGGAAGGGCCAUCGCUCAACGGAUAAAAGGUACUCCGGGGAUAACAGGCUGAUACCGCCCAAGAGUUCAUAUCGACGGCGGUGUUUGGCACCUCGAUGUCGGCUCAUCACAUCCUGGGGCUGAAGUAGGUCCCAAGGGUAUGGCUGUUCGCCAUUUAAAGUGGUACGCGAGCUGGGUUUAGAACGUCGUGAGACAGUUCGGUCCCUAUCUGCCGUGGGCGCUGGAGAAUUGAGGGGGGCUGCUCCUAGUACGAGAGGACCGGAGUGGACGCAUCACUGGUGUUCGGGUUGUCAUGCCAAUGGCACUGCCCGGUAGCUAAAUGCGGAAAAGAUAAGUGCUGAAAGCAUCUAAGCACGAAACUUGCCCCGAGAUGAGUUCUCCCUGACCCUUUAAGGGUCCUGAAGGAACGUUGAAGACUACGACGUUGAUAGGUCGGGUGUGUAAGCGCAGCGAUGCGUUGAGCUAACCGAUACUAAUGAACCGUGAGGCUUAACCU